GAUGAACGCUAGCGGCAGGCUUAAUACAUGCAAGUCGAGGGGUAGCAAGAUUGUAGCAAUACAAUUGUUGACGACCGGCAAACGGGUGCGGAACACGUACACAACCUUCCUACAAGUGGGGAAUAGCCCAGAGAAAUUUGGAUUAAUACCCCGUAACAUAGCGAUGUGGCAUCACAUUGCUAUUAUAGCUUCGGCGCUUGUUGAUGGGUGUGCGGCUGAUUAGAUAGUUGGCGGGGUAACGGCCCACCAAGUCUACGAUCAGUAGCUGAUGUGAGAGCAUGAUCAGCCACACGGGCAAUGAGACACGGGCCCGACUCCUACGGGAGGCAGCAGUAAGGAAUAUUGGACAAUGGACGCAGGCCUGAUCCAGCCAUGCCGCGUGAAGGAUGAAGGCCCUAUGGGUCGUAAACUUCUUUUAUACGGGAAAAAACCCCCCGAUGCGUCGGGGGUUGAUGGUACUGUAAGAAUAAGGAUCGGCUAACUACGUGCCAGCAGCCGCUGUAACAC
rnacentral:rRNA from 1 species